UGGGGAAUAUUGCACAAUGGGGGAAACCCUGAUGCAGCGACGCCGCGUGAGCGAAGAAGGCUUUCGAGUCGUAAAGCUCUGUCCUAUGAGAAGAUAAUGACGGUAUCAUAGGAGGAAGCCCUGGCUAAAUACGUGCCAGCAGCCGCGGUAAUACGUAUGGGGCGAGCGUUGUCCGGAAUUAUUGGGCGUAAAGGGUACGUAGGCGGUUUUUUAAGUCAGGUGUCAAAGCGUGGAGCUUAACUCCAUUAAGCACUUGAAACUGAAAGACUUGAGUGAAGGAGAGGAAAGUGGAAUUCCUAGUGUAGCGAUGAAAUGCGUAGAUAUUAGGAGGAAUACCGGUGGCGAAGGCGACUUUCUGGACUUUUACUGACGCUCAGGUACGAAAGCGUGGGGAGCAAACAGG
rnacentral:rRNA from 1 species